GUGUUAGCUUUGUUUGUCCCUGAGACAUGAUUUAGCCUUAUUGUUUGCCUGCUUACCAGAGCUUACUUCAACCACAGAAAAGUGGAUAUUAUUGCCAUCAGUGAUAUCUCAAAUUAUGCGGUCUGUAUGUUUUAGUAUGACUGUACCCAUAGCAAGUUCCAUGACACAGUCAAGGCUGAGAAUGGGAAACUUGUCAUCAAUGCAAAAGCCCUCUCCAUGUUCCAGGAGUGAGAUUCUACCAAUAUCAAACAGGGUGAUGUUUGUGCUGAGUGUGUUGUGAAGUCUGGCUUCCUCACUGCUAUGGAGAAGGCUGGGGACCACUUAAAGGGUGGGGCCCAAAGGGUCAACAUCUUUGCCCCUUACACCGAUGCCUCAUGUUUGUGAAGGGUAUGAACCAUGAGAAGUAAGACAUCUCACUCAAGAUUGUCAACAAUGAUUCCUGCACCACCAACAGCUUACCUCCUGGCCAAGGUCAUGCAUGAUGAGUUUGGCAUUGUGGAAGGACUCGUGGCCACAGUCUAUGCCAGCACUACAACUCAGAAGACUGUCGAUGGCCUCUCUGAGAAGCUAUAGCAUGAGGGCCAUGGGACUUCCCAGAACACCUGCAUCCACUGAUGUUGCCACAGCUGUGGGCAAGGUCAUCCCAGAACUGAAUGGGAAACUCACUGUCAUGGCCUUCCUUGUUCCUAUCUGCAAUGUGUCUGUCAUGGAUCUGACAUGUCUCCUGGAGAAAGCUGCCAAGUAUGACGACAUCAAGAAGGUGUUGAAGCAGGCACUGGAGAACCCUCUAAAGGGCCAUCCUGGGUUACACUGGGGACCAGGUUAUCUCCUGCAACGUUAACAGUGACUCCCACUCUUCCAUCUUUGAUGCUGGGGCUGACGUUGAUCUCAGUGACAACUUUGUAAAACUCAUUUCCAGGUCUAACAAUAAACACAGCUAUAGCAAUAAGGUGGCGAAAAAGACAAAGAGGGGUUCCUCUAUGGCCUCCAAGGAGUAG
rnacentral:lncRNA from 1 species